UCCUAAAGGUUCCAAAGCAGUCUGCAUGCCC
rnacentral:piRNA from 1 species